UGGUGAUGAACAGCAGUGUGG
rnacentral:piRNA from 1 species